UACGGAGGGUGCAAGCGUUAUCCGGAUUCACUGGGUUUAAAGGGUGCGUAGGUGGGCAGGUAAGUCAGUGGUGAAAUCUCCGGGCUUAACCCGGAAACUGCCGUUGAUACUAUCUGUCUUGAAUGUAGUGGAGGUGAGCGGAAUAUGUCAUGUAGCGGUGAAAUGCUUAGAUAUGACAUAGAACACCAAUUGCGAAGGCAGCUCGCUACACUACUAUUGACACUGAGGCACGAAAGCGUGGGGAUCAAACAGG
rnacentral:rRNA from 1 species